rnacentral:misc_RNA from 1 species
UUUCCGUAGGUGAACCUGCGGAGGGAUCAUUACAGAGUUCAUGCCCUAACGGGUAGAUCUCCCACCCUAUGUUAUCAUCACUUUGUUGCUUUGGCGGGCCGUCAGGCCUCGGCUUGGCUACCGGCUCUCGCUGGUAAGCGCCCGCCAGAGAACCCCAAACCCUGAAUACCAGUGUCGUCUGAGUACUAUAUAAUAGUUAAAACUUUCAACAACGGAUCUCUUGGUUCUG